rnacentral:rRNA from 1 species
CCUACGGGUGGCAGCAGUCGAGAAUCAUUCACAAUGGGGGAAACCCUGAUGGUGCGACGCCGCGUGGGGGAAUGAAGGUCUUCGGAUUGUAAACCCCUGUCAUGUGGGAGCAAAUUAAAAAGAUAGUACCACAAGAGGAAGAGACGGCUAACUCUGUGCCAGCAGCCGCGGUAAUACAGAGGUCUCAAGCGUUGUUCGGAAUCACUGGGCGUAAAGGGUGCGUAGGCGGUUUCGUAAGUCGUGUGUGAAAGGCGCGGGCUCAACCCGCGGACGGCACAUGAUACUGCGAGACUAGAGUAAUGGAGGGGGAACCGGAAUUCUAGGUGUAGCAGUGAAAUGCGUAGAUAUCGAGAGGAACACUCGUGGCGAAGGCGGGUUCCUGGACAUUAACUGACGCUGAGGCACGAAGGCCAGGGGAGCGAAAGGGAUUAGAUACCCCUGUAGUC